AGUGGGUCUAGUGAAGACCCACCAAAUCGACAGCAGAUCGUUCUCCAGAUGAGAGAGUAAGGUUAGGAUUUUGCUGGGGACACAAGGCUUGAAGAAAUUAGCUGCUGUUAGCUUAAAGCAUUGCAGAGAAAAUGUGAAGUGAAAUGUUUUGUUUUGUAGCAGAAGACUACAGGAAGCAAGUUGGAGAAUAAAAACUGGACACUAUUCUGGAUGAGACCAGUGACAACCUUAGCUCACACAGAAUCCAAAAGAGUUUCUGUGCUGUACUUCUAUAACAAGGCAUUUGAAACAGUGUAUAAACACAACCACAAACUAAUAUUUUCAAAGGAAAUUUCACAUUCUUCAAGUGUACUAUGACUAAGUAAAAGCAUUUUCAAUUAAUUUAUGUUUUUAAUAGAAAGGGAAAUAGUCCAGCAUUUAAAUGGAUGUCAUCCAAGACUGAGCACAUGGUAUCAACCAGGUGCAGACAUCUUGGCUAUUUGGGAACAUAUUUUCUUUAAUGAAAAGGUUUAACGGGAUUAUCUCUGAAGUGAACUAACUGUAGGCUUUAUAGCGCCAAGAGUAUUUCAUUAGUUUAUAAUUCUGAACAUUUUUGUUGUGCUUGGUAAAGUUUAGAGGAACAGGUAAUGUUCCUUGUCAUUGCAGAGAAAUUGCCUGCAAUUAGGAGGCAUUAUAGCUCACAGUACCUUAGCUUUAUCAUCCAAAAUCAGUUACAUUCUACUUUACUUGAUAUGAAGGGCAGAACACCUGAAAACAGAAUCUGAGGUACUUACAAUAAGUGAACUGUUCCUUCUAUCAGAAUUAAUUGAAGAGGUGGCAAAGCAAGAGGUCAAUAGUUGCAGGCAUGCAGCCUGGCUUCAUAUUUUCAAUAGCUCUCUUUUACAGAUAAGCCUACAUUACAUGCUAAGAAGGUCUUUUCAUUUAACAGUUAUGUUUUGGGAGUCUUUUAAAAUCUGGAGCUUGCUUGGCACUUCCAUUCACAAUUGUUUUUCAGCUUUUAAUAUCAUAAUUAUUUCAAAACCUACAUGACAAGCAAGGUAUACUGUGAUUUUAGUCCUUUAUGGAAGAUUUAUACCCCUUUUCUUCCCUUCCCUCAGGACUUCAAUGGAAACUUUUAACACCUCUUACCCUCAAUGAUUUGUGACCUUUUUUGGUGAGGGUUCCCUCAGUAGCCCAUCCAUGCUACUCCUAGCUCUUGCUUGUUCACACAGUUCAAUACAGAGUGGUGAGCUUCCUCCCACACUCACUCGAGAUUCAAACAUGCUGCUGUUUCCAGCACAAUUAGUGCCUGCAGUAUGAGACCAACUGUGAGUAUUCUAUCCCCAUAAGUAUCAUGAAUGGCUGUGUAUAAACUUCUGAGCUACCAAGACUGACUAUAUAGGGUAAAGAUAUUUGCUCAUGUAAAAUUUCAUGAGGGACUUGAAUACUGCAUAAUAACUUAUACAGCAAAAUCUGCACUAAAAACAACUUUCAGGAGGCAGACCCUGUUUUAAGAGAUUUAAAAGUACUGUAUCAGCCCAGUUUCCAGAACAAUGUUGUUUGACUGCUAGUAAAAACUGCCUCUGUCGGCAACCAGUUUUUGCUGGUCUUUUGGACUGCCACUUAAGACAUGUUUCAAUUCAUGUAUAUAGAACCUUUCAUCCAGCAGUAUUCCAAAACACUUUACAAACUAUAUAUGGGAAUCACUUAACCCAAACCAAAAUGAAGCUACUUCUAGAAAGAAAUGAGGCAACUGUUUAACAACACGCAGCAGUUUAGGACAGUAAGUGAAGAAUACCAUAUCCAACUGAAAUUACAGGGGAGGAUUUGAGCAGGCAGGAUGUAAUUAUCCAAAGUCCUAUGAGAUGGAUCAUUGCCCUUCUUGGAUGGUUAAAGCCAAUGGAAACAGUCUGGCCUUUUACUAAUUUUACUGAUGGAAACUGUGAAUGUCCCUCAGCGAGAGGGCAAGCUGAUGGCACUUUUUAAAGAUGCCAGAAUAUAUCUUGCUUAACAAAACUAGUGUUGGAAACUCCAGCUGGUACAGCAUGCAGCUGCCCACCAGUAAGUAUUGUAGACCAAAGGAGCAACAUACUACAUUUGCUUCUAGUUAUCUUGCAGAUGAAAUUCAAGGUGCUGAAUAGCCUGGGUCCCAGUUGUUUGAACCCACUUUCCUGCCUUUGCUCCAUCAAGACAACUUCAGCAGGAGGAAGAAGAAAAGCUUGGAGGAGUUGGGAGCUGGGUAUUCUAAUCUCUGGAGCUGUUGGGAAUGUGUCUGAGCCUCACAAUCAGGAUGAAAUGUAGCUUCUUUUCAUCUAGGUUUUCCAUAAUAUUUGCUGGAUUCACUUAUUUUUAAAUCUUCUGGAUGCUACCCACUGUCUUAGGUGUCCUCAAAGACACUUAGUCAGCUGCUGUGGAUAUUUGAACUGUGCUCCACAUUUUGUGAAGCUGUUAGAUUCUACUUGGUGUAAGGUGUACGUAGAAAGCACAGUAAAACCCUGUAAAUACUUGUAGCAAUAAUAAUACAUUGGAGUUUACCCAGUACAUAAGGGAUAACACCUGCUUAUUUUUUUGAAAGUUCCACGGGAUCUUUAAUAACUUUCAAUGAUCAGGGUUGUAAUGUGAAAUCUAAUCUGAAAGACUAGAUUACAGCAAAACGGUCUUCUAACCCUAAUUGCAUUCUGGGGCAUUGCCUGAAUACUGACUCAAAAGAAAGGAUGCCACCUACUAAUUCACUAGUUUCAUUUCUUUCAGAACCUAAUUUUUUCUUGGAGGUCUCCCUUCCAAGUAUUGAUCAGGUUCAAUAUGAUUUUAAUUUAUGAGUCCACAAUCUGAGAAAAAUGGCUGCAGAUUGAAAAAGAAAAUAAUUUAAAUUAAUCUUUUCUUUUUAAAUGUCUGAUUUUAGCUGUUGCCAAUAAUUAAACAUACUUGGUUUGAAUAAGAGUUUUUCAAUCACAAAUCAUACUCUUUUCUGACGGAUCAUGAAGCAAAGUGUGUACGUGUUACAUACACGGUCUGUCAUGGAAAAUAUUGUGAAGUCACAAAUUCCAAACAAUCACUGAAACUAAGCAGGAGGAGUAAUGGAGAAGGAAAUCUUAAGAGAGCUGAAACCCUAAACUAAGUUUCAUAGAAAACUGCAGAGGUUACAUUUUUGAUUUCUAUGGAAAGCAAAAAAUAAGGAGUCAUAAGUGCACACAUUAGGCACUGGAACAAUUUAUCAAGGAUUGUGGUGGCAAUUUUUAAAUCAAGAUUGGAUAUUAUUCUAAAAGAUAUGCUCUAGGAAUUGUUCUGGGGAAGUUCUGUGGCUUGUGUUAUAGUGGAGGUCAGACUAGAUGAUCAUAAUGGUCCCUUCUGGCCUUCGAAUCUAUGAAUUUGGAAAAUUAUUUUCUCUAUUUGCCAUUUCUUCUUUGUCUCUUUCACUGGCUCUUCAUCAGCUGUGCUUUAGCCUUAUAUCUAUAAAUAUUUCAUUCCUCAUGGAGCUGUGAACAGAAGGAGUCUAUUUUUCACUGAAUGCUUUGGUAUGCACUUGUUGGUGUUAGUAGGCAUCACCCUAGGUAACUCGGGAGGUUGGAAGACCCGAGAGUCGAUGAAGCCCCCCCGCUCUAGGCCAAAGUGAAUCAAAGCCCCUGCAUGUUAAACUUUACUAACCUCACAGGCCAGCAGCUGGGAAGCAGUAGUGAUAAGGGAAACCUACAUGCUUCUAACUAAAGGACAAGAUUACUUGCAGAAAGAAACAAUGAGAACAAGCCUCCCAGCCAAGUUCGUGUAAUGUAGCCAGAGGGAGAAUGGAGGAGGGUGGGUGAGAAAGGACGGGGAAAAAGGGAAAGGCUUAGUUACAAACUGUAUAAAAGACAAAGGCUGCUUAUGUUGGUGUGCUUGAUUUGAGACGUGCCUGUCUCCUUGCACCACUUUGAGAUCUCAAAUAAACUUUGAUUGCUUCUCCACCCUGGUGUGUUCAUUGGUGCGAAGCACACCGGGCAACGGACCCCGCUGUUGCUGUCCUCGGGCACUCUGUGCCGGCAACACACUUGUAGUGUAUGGUUCAUUCGUUGGGUGUUACCUACUAAUGUGAUGCUAAGAGGUUUAUGGAGUUUUGAGCUCUAGUUUUUGAAUCUUUUCAUAUUUUGUCUCUUUUGUCUCUUCAUAUUUUGUCUGUGUGUGUCUUGUUUGGUGCCUCUAUAGAUGAUUAGUUGUUUGGGAAAACUGAUUUCUGGUGCAAAAGGUUUGACUAUUUAUGUAACGUGUGCCAUAAAUGUGCACCAGACUUUACAAACAUGUAGAAAUACUGGGUCCAUACCCUGAGGAGUUUUUAAUCUAAUUAAGAAAAAUACAAUAUAUGAGACAAGCAUUCACGUGCAAGAAAGAAUAGAAACAUUAGUGGCUGGACAGCAAUAUAGGAAGACUAAGAAAGAAGGUAUUUGAAAGUGAAGAGGAAGUGUUGCUUUGUACAUGGAAGAUGGGCGAGACUAUUCCAAACAUAGUAGCAGAGGUUACAUAGGAAUGUAAUAAGUCAAGACAGUAUAAAUGCAAAUAAUAGCAAAGUUGUGGAUAGGAUUAUGAAGGAUAAGGAGGCUGAAAUUAAUAUGAAAAGACACCAGUGGAGAGAUUCAGGGACUGGAGUGAUGGGGUCAUAGCAGUGAGGGCUAAAUACACAAAGGUACUUUAGUUGUUGCAAUGCCUAACCCCUUCCAUGCCCUGCUACCUAGUGGAAUCCUCAGUUUUGAGUUAGGUGCCCAGACUCCCCAUAAAUGGCUUGGGGAGACUUGGGUGCUUAAGGAAGGGAACAUAAGAAGCCAGAAUGCCGAGAGAGGAGCCACCUAAGCUCCAGAAAAGUCAAUAGGAAGAGAGGACAACAGUAAGGGUGGAGAAAGUUCCAUAAUGCUCAACCUGCUCCUUCCUACUCUAAAUUUGCUAAUAUGACUAUGGGUAAUGCAAUGAGAGGCUCUUUGUCCCUGUUCCCACAGUGGCAGCUAAUGCAGAUGGUCACAGGGCAAGCUCACAUGUGCAGGUAGGAGGCUCCGACAGCAACUCAUAGUCCCAAACUUUUCUCCUUUGCUCCCAUGACUCUCAGUUAUGUAUGACUGACCUCUUAGCACCACCAAUGGUGGACCUUCCCAAACCUCCCAGUCACAUAUAGUCUUCUGUUAAGUGGAGAGCAGGGAGGGAAAGUUCACACCAAGACAGCAAAAAAGAACAAAAAUUAGAAAGUAAAAUACAACAGAGAAUAAAAGAUAAUCAUAAGAGAAACGAACAGAGACAGAAAAGGUCAGGAGAGAAAAUGGAAAGAAAAAAAGAUGGUGGUAACUGUAGCAGAGCAUGGCACAAGGAAAAACAUUAUGAGGGAACUCUUCCACCAAUUUCUCACAAGAGAACUCCACUACAAAAAAUGCUAAAAACCCUUGGGCUAAAGACUCUAACAAGAUAAAGAUACUCUUGAAAGAAUUCAAAUAAUAAUGAAGGCAAUAAUAAACACAUCCAAAUAUGGAUAAGGUAUUUGGUAGAGUUUCCUUUAGUCCAGACUUAUAUCAGUAUCUCCCUAUGGUUGUCUCUCUGUAUAGCAUUAGAUAGAUAGAUAGAUGCACAUACUCCUGAGGGCAUUCAGCGCCAAAAAAAUUUAAAAAUCUGCACCAAAAAAAUAAAAUUCUGCGCACAUUUUAAAAUUCUGCCAAUUUUGUUGGUCAAAUAAAUGUGGUGGCUCUUUUUGGUGUUUCUCUUGUGUACAUGUGACAAUCAGGGUCCAGACACCCCAGGGGGAGAACAGAAGGUUUAAACCUAAAAAUAAAAGCAAUUAAACCAACCAAUUGAAUACUAUGUUGUUUUCCUGUAAGAGGAUAUCAAGAUCUUUUAUGAAAUUUUAUAAUGCACUGAACUUAAUAAUCAUUAUGAGAUAUGUACACAAGAUACGUGUGUGUGUAUAUAUAUAAAAUGUAAUGGUAACUGUGGUGCAACUUCAGCAUCACUUCACAACAGGGUGGUAAAGGAAUCAGGCAGGAAGAAGCUACCUCUCCAACCAGACAAGUCUGGCUUUGAGCACCUAGCCAUUGUCCAGCCCAGAAAAAAACCAACAUGGAACCAUCCAAGCAAACAAGAACAGUUGAAACUGAAAAGAAAAAUUCAUCUUUGGAACCCAAGAAAGGAGGGAGUCUCCCCCACUCUGAAUAUCUAUAGUGACUGAAAAAAAUGCAAACCCUUUUAAAAUGGAAAGGGUUUGAACUGAAGGCCAAUCAGAACUUGGGGGACAGAUACCUCUGACAGCUAGGGGGGCAUGCUGGAGAAUUGCUUUAAAGCAAUAGAUAACUCUUAGAAAAUAAUCCCUUAGAAAAGUGAUUUUAGCUAAUAUGAAAGUAAAGCCAGAGGUGAUGUCUGUAUGUUUAUUUUCUGUAUAAUGUGUAUAUGUUUGUUUUCCCUUACUAUUUCAUUUUUGAACCUGUGGGUUAUUUUUUAUAAAUAAGUUUUUAAAUAAAUUUAUAUAUAAA